rnacentral:tRNA from 1 species
GCAACGAUAGCUCAGUUGGUAGAGCACCGGUUUGAAGGUCCGGGUGUCACAAGUUCGACUCUUGUUCGUUGCACCA